rnacentral:rRNA from 1 species
AUGGUGUUCACCAGUGUGGCUGAUGAUCGGCGCAGCAAGCGGUUGCAGCAGCAAGAGGUGAACGCUCUGGCAUCAAAUACUCCAGAGUUCAUGCAUUGGUCCGAGAAGCCUAUCAGUUCGAGCAGAGCAGAUCACCCAGAGGUGAUGCCGAAUCCGGGCUCCUAUGCCCUGGUCCUAGGUGCCACCUUGGCCACUGAUAGGUGGGCCGCCCGCUUUUCGAGAGUGCUGAUAGACGGAGGCAGUAGCAUCAACAUCCUGUACAAGGACACUAUGGAGAAGUUAGGAAUCAAGCAAAGACAGCUGCAGAGCAGCCAGACUGUGUUUCACGGCAUCGUACCUGGCCUUUCCUUCUCACCAAUCGGCAAGAUCCUGAUAGACAUCCUCUUCGGGGACAAAGAUCAUUUCCGCCAAGAGCCAGUCUGGUUUGAAGUGGUGGAUCUUGAAAGCCCAUACCAUGCGUUACUUGCCCAACCUGCACUGGCCAAGUUCAUGGCCGUUCCCCACUACGCCUACCUCAAGAUGAAGAUUACAAGAAGUCGUCCGCUUGCGCGGCUGAGAGCAGUCGGCUGGCCGAGUCCCUGGUGA